GGCUCAGGAUGAACGCUAGCUACAGGCUUAACACAUGCAAGUCGAGGGGCAGCGCAGUGUAGCAAUACAUGGGCGGCGACCGGCGCACGGGUGCGUAACGCGUAUCCAACCUUCCCGUUACUCAGGGAUAGCCUUCCGAAAGGGAGAUUAAUACCUGAUGGUGUUUGAAUUCCGCAUGUUAUUCAAACUAAAGAUUUAUCGGUAACGGAUGGGGAUGCGUGACAUUAGAUAGUAGGCGGGGUAACGGCCCACCUAGUCUACGAUGUCUAGGGGUUCUGAGAGGAAGAUCCCCCACACUGGAACUGAGACACGGUCCAGACUCCUACGGGAGGCAGCAGUGAGGAAUAUUGGUCAAUGGUCGGGAGACUGAACCAGCCAAGUAGCGUGAAGGAUGAAGGUUCUAUGGAUUGUAAACUUCUUUUAUACGGGAAUAACACCAUCUACGUGUAGAUGCCUGCAUGUACCGUAUGAAUAAGCAUCGGCUAACUCCGUG
rnacentral:rRNA from 1 species